AUGCUUCGGCAGCACAUAUGCUAAAAUCGGAAUGAUAUAGAGAAGAUUAACAUGGCCCCUACACAAGGAUGAUACACAAAUUCGUGAAGCAUUCCAUAUUUUU
ensembl:snRNA U6 U6 spliceosomal RNA